rnacentral:rRNA from 1 species
GAUGAACGCUAGCGGGAGGCCUAACACAUGCAAGCCGAGCGGGAUUUGUUGGUUAGCUUGCUAACUAACAAUGAGAGCGGCGUACGGGUGCGUAGCACGUGUGCAACCUGCCUUUAUCUGGGGGAUAGCCUUUCGAAAGGAAGAUUAAUACCCCAUAACAUAUUGAUUGGCAUCAGUUAAUAUUGAAAGCUCCGGCGGAUAGAGAUGGGCACGCGUAAGAUUAGCUAGUUGGUGAGGUAACGGCUCACCAAGGCUGCGAUCUUUAGGGGGCCUGAGAGGGUGAUCCCCCACACUGGUACUGAGACACGGGCCAGACUCCUACGGGAGGCAGCAGUGAGGAAUAUUGGACAAUGGGUGAGAGCCUGAUCCAGCCAUCCCGCGUGAAGGACUAAGGACCUAUGGUUUGUAAACUUCUUUUAUACAGGGAUAAACCUACUCUCGUGAGGGUAGCUGAAGGUACUGUAUGAAUAAGCACCGGCUAACUCCGUG